UACGAAGGGGGCUAGCGUUGCUCGGAAUUACUGGGCGUAAAGGGCGCGUAGGCGGGUUGUUAAGUCAGGGGUGAAAUCCCGGAGCUCAACUCCGGAACUGCCUUUGAUACUGGCAAUCUAGAGACUGGAAGAGGUUAGUGGAAUUCCCAGUGUAGAGGUGAAAUUCGUAGAUAUUGGGAAGAACACCAGUGGCGAAGGCGGCUAACUGGUCCAGUACUGACGCUGAGGUGCGAAAGCGUGGGGAGCAAACAGG
rnacentral:rRNA from 1 species